rnacentral:lncRNA from 1 species
CAAUCAAGAGGUUUCACCUAAACUUCUAGAAAGGAAGGUGAAAUAAAGUCUCAUCUAUACCUUUUUUGAUGUACACAGGACAUUUGUUGACUACUGUAGACAGCAUGGAAAAGUUCAACAUCAUAGAAUCUAAAGACCUGUGUGGACCUGGCCAAGCUGACCAAGUCCAGAGAAAAUGUCCCUUGAAGUAGGUAUAUUUUGGGUUCAUUUGAUAAUAAGAUGAAGAAUAGAGCUUUGUCAACUAUAAAGCACCAUGAAAAAUUGAGAAUUAAUAUUUCUACCUUAUGAAUAUAUUCAAGAUGAUCCCUUACUUGGAGAUAAUGGCUCAGAGAGAUUAUUUAAAGAGAAAACUGGAAAUAUUUUGACAUUUUUUAUGUGUUGGGGAUGACAGGAAGCCAAAGAUGUUACAUUUUCAAGGGAGAAUCUAGGAUUCAGCAUAUUUUACAUUCAACCAAGGAGUUCCAAGAUGGGUACAUGCAGGGAGAAUGGAGACUAAAGCCUUUGGCCAAUAUGGUAUUUUUUUUUUCUUUUAAACAACUUUAACUGAUAUAUAAUUUAUAUAUCCUUAAAUUAACUCAUUUUAACUGUACUAUUUACUGAACUUUAUUUAGAGAGUCUUGCCACCAGUUUUGCACUCUAACUUGAGAAUAUUUAUAUCAUCCAUCACAAAAAAUACUAGUGUCUGUUUGCAGUCACUCCUUUUUCCCCACACUCUACCCCAGGCAACCACAAAUCUUCUGUCUCUAUAAUUUCACUCUUUCUGGACAUUUCCUAUAAAUGUAACCAUAUGAUACGUAGCCUUUUUGUAAGCAUAUAGUUUUUGAGGUUUAUUCAUGUUGUAGAAGAUGUCAGUACUUGGUUUCUUUUAAUUACCAAAUAGUAUUCUAUCGAAUGGAUAUACUACAUUUUGUUUAUCCAUUGCCUGGUUGAUGGAUAUUGGGUUGUUUCCC